UUUGCAACGUAAAUGUGUUCUUUAAUGAAAAGAAUUAUCUGGUCUUCAGUGGCAGCUAGUGGCUGUUAUGAUUAUUAGAAACUUUUGGCUUACCCUGAUGCAAUUCGUUUUCUUUAAUGAAUUUGAUUUCCUCAGGUAGAGGCUGAACAUGAGGAAGAUGAGAGAUCUGAGGAGUCUGAGGAGGAGUCUGAAGAAGACUCUGAUGGAGAGACAGAAGUCAGUUAUCUAUGACGCAUUCCCUAACAAAAAUUAAAAAAAUGUUUUGUUUAAUAAUUUGAUGUGGUUUUUACUUUAUGAGGCUUCAAGAGCUACCUUUAACAUUUCCUCUUUGCUUUUGGCUGUUGAAACAGAAGAGGAAAGGUACAGAAGGUAUCAUUGAGAUUCAGAACCCUAAUUUGGUCAAGCCAAAGAACGUGAAAGCUAAAAAUGUUGAU
rnacentral:lncRNA from 1 species